rnacentral:rRNA from 1 species
AUACGGAGGGUGCAAGCGUUGUUCGGAAUUAUUGGGCGUAAAGAGCAUGUAGGCGGUCUGUUAAGUCCGAUGUGAAAGCCCGGGGCUCAACCCCGGAAGUGCAUUGGAUACUGGCAGACUUGAGUAUGGGAGAGGAAAGUGGAAUUCCGAGUGUAGGAGUGAAAUCCGUAGAUAUUCGGAGGAACACCAGUGGCGAAGGCGGCUUUCUGGACCAAUACUGACGCUGAGAUGCGAAAGCGUGGGGAGCAAACAGGAUUAGAUACCCUAGUAGUCC